rnacentral:lncRNA from 1 species
CAGCUCACUCCACGAGAUUUUACUACGCAAUUCAGAAGCAUCGUGAUGUUGCAAAGGAACGUUAUGAUAUUUUUGUUGAACAAGUGACAAAAAUGAAGGAAUAUGUGGAGCUCAAAGUUGUUGAACUAAAAUCGAAGAUGUCAAAAGAAGUUCAGAAAAUGGAGCAAAACUUCACUUUGUUGCAUGGCAAAGUCGAUGUCAUUGUGAUUUCUAUAGCUAAGUUGGUUGAGUUUAACACUAGGUAUUUAAACAAGAUUGAAUGGAAGUCAGAAAAGGAUUCUCAAGUGUUUGAGAAGAUGGAAGAAUUCUUAUCUAGUAUCAAGGAGUCGAUUUCGAAAGAUGCUCUUUCGAACCAAUAAAAUUUUUCUCAAGAUUCUAUUUCUCAAUUGAUUUUGAUUGUUGAAACCAAUAUCAAGUCAGAGCGUGCUCCAAUAAUUGAGUUGGUUCUUCGAUUGCCAACUAAUGCUCCAUGUGCAGUGCAAAUGUCACAAGGGGCAGAGAAAGGAGUUGGAAGAUUUAGUUCUUCAAAAUAUUCCAAGAAAGGGGUUGAUGUUAGGAAACUGAGUUCGAAUCAAAUUAUGACUUCACUUCCCAUAUUAUUGACCAUGAGUUCUACAACAACAACAACUACAAGAGUACUGACAUAAGGUAUCUCAAUAAAUGAAGGAGCCGGAGGUUCGAGUUCAAGUUCUGUUCCACCAACUUCGAAUGAUGAUCCAAGUAAUAAACAAAAAACUAUUUAUGUGGUUCUAUCAGAAGAAGAGAUGACAAAGGAACAAGCUCUUGAAAUCAAGAAGCAAAGGCAAAUCAACAAUAUUAUGAGGCGAAGACAAAAUGACCCACCUGGCUUGAACAAGGGUGAUCCCAACAAGAAGUGAUGUUAUGAAAAGAUUGCGGAUAUUGUUUCGAUUGGGUUGAAUGAUUACUUUCAAAAGGUACCCAAGAAGUAUUUUGAUAUUGAGAAUUCCGAUUCCAAACAACUUGAUUUCCCAAUUAACCACAUGUUAUUCACAUCUUCUCAUUUCAAGAUUGUUGAAGAUUUUAAUGAUAAUGAUGAGUUCAAAAGACUGAAGAUUCGUUUCAAUGUAGUCUUGGGGAAAAGCGAAGAAGAAGUAUGGUAAUCUAUGAAUAUAAUGAAGGUGAUGACUGUAAUGGAGUGAUCUUCAUCCAACCCUAAUUCCAUAAAGGUUCUAGAACGUUCCUGGUUAACCAACUAUCGAUUAAUGAAUAUUCAGCCCUUUAAUUAAUUAUACUAUUAGUUAAUUCCUAAAAUAUAUUUCCAAAUAGUUUCUAAUUAAUUAUUAACCAUAAUAGUUAAUAAACCAAUUUAUCCUUUAUUUAUCCUACUCAAUUUGGGUCUCGAAGGCAACCCAAAAGGACCCUGUAAUUAUUAGAAAUAUUAUCAAUAGUUAAUGACCUUGGACACUCUUGCAACACUUUGCUGAUCUUCAGUUUGAUCAUGUGGAGGAAAAUGUUCCCAAUGACUUAAUUAUGUCAGGUAAACAAUUAAUCCUCAACUCAAAAAUAAAAUCUCUUCUUCAUAUACAAGCAUAUACAGGGGAAGGAAUUUUGUGACCGGGGUUUAGAUGGAGUACUUGUUGAAAUCCCAAGAAGAUCGCUUUCAAAGCCUAGUUGAAGGCAUUGAGAAGAAACAAGCCAAAAGGUUAGUAGCUCAUUCCAAGAGAUUUAACUAUGCAAUUCAGAAGCAUCGUGAUGUUGCAAAGGAACGUUAUGAUAUUUUUGUUGAACAAGUGACAAAAAUGAAGGAAUAUGUGGAGCUCAAAGUUGUUGAACUAAAAUCGAAGAUGUCAAAAGAAGUUCAGAAUAUGGAGCAAAACUACACUUUUUUGCAUGGAAAAGUCGAUGUCAUUGUGAUUUCUAUAACUAAGUUGGCUGAGUUUAACACUAGGUAUUUAAACAAGAUUGAAUGGAAGUCAGAAAAGGAUUCUCAAGUGUUUGAGAAGAUGGAAGAAUUCUUAUCUAGUAUCAAGGAGUCUAUUUCGAAAGAUGCUAUUUCGAACCAAUCAACAAUUUCUCAAGAUUCUAUUUCUCAAAUGAUUUUGACUAUUGAGACCAAUAUCAAGUCAGAUCGUGCUCCAAUAAGUGAGUUGGUUCUUCGAUUCCAUCUAAUGCUCCAUGUGCAGUGCAAAUAUCACAAGGGGGAGAGAAAGGAUUUGGAAGAUUUGGUUCUUCAAAAUAUUUCGAGAAAGGGGUUGAUGUUGGGAAACUGAAUUCGACUCAAAAUAUGACUUCACUUCCCAUAUUAUUGACCAUGAGUUCUACAACAACAACAACUACAAGAGCACUGACAUAAGGUAUCUCAAUAAAUGAAGGAGCUGGAGGUUCGAGUUCAAGUUCAGUUCCACCAAGUUCAAAUGAUGAUCCGAGUAAUAAACGAAAACCUAUUUAUGUGGUUCUAUCUGAAGAAGAGAGGAAAAAGGAACAAGCUCUUGAAAUCGAGAAGCAAAGGCAAAUCAACAAUAUUAUGAGGCGAAGACAAAUUGACCCACCUGGCUUGAACAAGGGUGAUCCCAACAAGAAGCGAUGUUAUGAAAAGAUUGAGGAUAUUGUUUCGAUUGGGUUGAAUGAUUACUUUCGAAAGGUGCCCAAGAAGAAUUUUGAUAUUUAGAAUUCCAAUUCCAAACAAAUUGAUUUCCCAAUUAACCACAUGUUAUUCACAUCUUCUCAGUUCAUGAUUGUUGAAGAUUUCAUUGAUAAUGAUGAGUUCAAAAGACUGAAGAUUCGUUUCCAUGUAGUCUUGGGGAAAAGCGAAGAAGAAGUAUGGUAAUCUAUGAAUAUAAUGAAGGUGAUGACUGUAAUAGAGUGAUCUUCAUCCAACCCUACUUCCAUAAGGGUUCUAGAACGUUCCUGGUUAACCAACUAUCGAUUAAUGAAUAUUCAGCCCUUUAAUUAAUUAUACUGUUAGUUAAUUCCUAAAAUAUAUUUCCAAAUAGUUUCUAAUUAAUUAUUAACCAUAAUAGUUAAUCAACCAAUUUAUCCUUUAUUUAUCCUACUCAAUUUGGGUCUUGAAGGCAACCCAAAAGGACCCUGUAAUUAUUAGAAAUAUUAUCAAUAGUUAAUGCCCUUGGACGCUCUUGUAACACUUUGCUGAUCUUCAAUUUGAUCAUGCGGAGGAAAAUUUUCCCAAUGACUUAAUUAUGUCAGCUAAACAUCUAAUCCUCAACUUGAAAAUUAAAUCUUUUCUUCAAAUACAAGCAUAUACAGGGGGGAGGAAUUUUGUGACUGGGGUUGAGAUGGAGUACUUGUUGAAAUCCCAAGAAGAUCGCUUUCAAAGCCUGGUUGAAGGCAUUGAGAAGAAUCAAGCCGAAAGGUUAGCAACUCACUCCAAGAGAUUUUACUACACAAUUCAGAAGCAUCGUGAUGUUGCAAAGGAACGUUAUGAUAUUUUUGUUGAACAAGUGACAAAAAUGAAGGAAUAUGUGGAGCUCAAAGUUGUUGAACUAAAAUCAAAGAUGUCAAAAGAAGUUCAGAAAAUGGAGCAAAACUUCACUUUGUUGCAUGGCAAAGUCGAUGUCAUUGUGAUUUCUAUAGCUAAGUUGGUUGAGUUUAACACUAGGUAUUUAAAC